rnacentral:tRNA from 1 species
GGUCCGUUGGUCAAGGGGUUAAGACACCGCCUUUUCACGGCGGUAACACGGGUUCGAAUCCCGUACGGAAUA